ACAAUAUAUUACUAUUAUCUCUGCUAUGCUAUAAACUAUCUUCUACUGUUACUCUUCACACUGUCACUACACCUCACAGUUUCUAAUUGCUCAAUCUUCAAGAGACAGUUCAUUGAGUAAUAGUCAUAGUCUCUAUCCACAGCAUCCACUGUACUCAUACUACUGCUGAAUCCAAAGCAGCAAACACCAUGGAAGAAAACUGUGAAAUACACACUUCUGCCACUGAAAGUGCACAACAAGCAUCAUCUUUCUCUAUGGAAUCAGACUCUGAGUAUAGUUCAGAAGGAGAUAUCUCUUCUGA
rnacentral:sRNA from 1 species